UUGGAGGGCAAGUCUGGUGCCAGCAGCCGCGGUAAUUCCAGCUCCAAUAGUGUAUAUUAAAGUUGUUGCAGUUAAAAAGCUCGUAGUUGAACUUCGGGAUCAGAGUGUCGGUCGUGCCUCGGUACGCACUGGUAUUAUUGGUUCCUACCUUCUGAAGAACCGCGAUGUCAUUAAUUUGGUGUCGUGGGGAAUCAGGACUGUUACUUUGAAAAAAUUAGAGUGUUUAAAGCAAGCUAACGCUUGAAUACAUUAGCAUGGAAUAAUGAAAUAGGACGUUCGAUCCUAUUUUGUUGGUUUCUAGGAUUGACGUAAUGAUUAAUAGGGAUAGUUGGGGGCAUUAGUAUUCAAUUGUCAGAGGUGAAAUUCUUGGAUUUAUUGAAGACUAACUACUGCGAAAGCAUUUGCCAAGGAUGUUUUCAUUAAUCAAGAACGAAAGUUAGGGGAUCGAAGACGAUCAGAUACCGUCGUAGUCUUAACCAUAAACUAUGCCGACUAGGGAUCGGAUGAUGUUAAUUUUUUAAUGACUCAUUCGGCGCCUUACGGGAAACCAAAGUGUUUGGGUUC
rnacentral:rRNA from 1 species